GUUGGUGAUAAAUUCCUCUAGGUGGCAGCAGGACUGCGCUGUACACGUUCUUUUCCAUGCUGGCUGUAGAGGCAGAUAGACGUAAUGGUAGUUCUCUGUAAAGCAAGGAAAACGGGAUCCAAACCGGGGACUUUCCAGCGUAUUGUCUGAAAUGUAUACUUUGUGUAAUAGCGGACCGGACUGUGUGAGGUUAAUCGGCUUUGAAGGGGAAAGCUGUGUCUACAGCUCAGUGCUGAAUUCUGCCGCCGGGAGUGACGUGGCCGCGGACUGUCAUCGAGGGUUCAUUGUUCUGGUGCAGCAGUUGGAUCGCCGAUCUUCUUUGUGGUGCAGGAGUUGGAUCGCCGACCUUCUUUGUGGUGCAGGAGUUGGAUCGCCGACUUUCUUUCUGGUGAAGGAACUGGAUCGCUGACCUUCGACAUCAAUGGUUUUUUUUUUUUGUCGUGACAGGGAGUACAGCUUCUACAGAUUCAUGUCCAAACUGGAUCAUUACUCGAACCAGUUGAUGAAGGUGUUUAGAAAAAAGGGUGGAGCAGCAAGACACAAAAUAAGCAUGAUCAUGGCAGCCAUGGACAAGCUCUGCUUCAGUCUCCAGCCAGUUGUUCCUACCUCAUCCCCAUUUGCCCCUGGAUUACCUCAGCCUGUUUUCCUCUCUGUAUUCAGUUCCCCAUCUAAAUCCUACUGUUGAAACAUGAAGAGAGUGUGUCCUCAAAGCACUUUGUGUGUACCUCAGUGAAAAUCCUGAAAAGUUCAUAAAGGACUAUGUGGUUGUUGAACCUGGUGCAAUGACAGCAAUGGAGGGAAAGGUCAUGGAAAUCUGUUAUCCGACACGAGGGAGCAGAGCCCACAGAGUCGCCUGAGGAUGUUGGCAUCAUAAUCGAGGGAGUUGAAGUGUUGUAAGAUCUGAGAGAUGUGGCAAGUGGGUACAGUCGUGUUUGGCGUCAUCUACAGUUUAAACCUCAGCUACCCCAAAGACCGGAGAUACAUGUUUGGAUUUUUUCAAAAAGUUUUAAUGGAUUUGGAUGGCAACAGACUUUCCAUAAAGGUGCAGAUCUUCAAGAACCGACUACAUGAGUAAUCCCAACUGCAGUACACAACUGACUGAGUCUCCGCUGGUCACGCUGCCCGGGCUCCCCUGUCACUCCUCUCCACCACCAAACUCUGAACCAGCGUUCACCCGUGGAGGAGGAGGUGUCUCAUCCCUGCCUGCCUCAGCCCGUCCCCGCUGCCCCAGCCUCUGGAUCUCCCAGCAUGCCACAACCACUCUCUGUCGCUCGCCCACCCCAGCGGGGAACUAACCUGGACCGCAGGUCUCCAGUAGCCUGUCUGCCCCACUUCCAGUCCGUAGUGAGUUCCUGAGUUUUUCCUGGCUUUAGUUUCACGUUUAUCUAGUCUUUAGUUUCAGUCACUCACUCCCCCUUAGGUCUUUUGGCAUACCUAAUUUGUAGCAAAAUAAAAUUAAUUUCUGCCUGAUCCAGCUGUGAGUCUGUGUGUUCUCUGCCUGGGUUCACCACUGCCCAUGACAGUUUGACAAUAGACAAAUCUGUAUAGUAUAAUUUCCAAUAAUAUUAAGGAAUGCUGAGGUAAAUAUUACAGUAACUGCAUUAAUGGAAUACAUAAAAAUU
ensembl:lncRNA